UUGAUACUGAAUCAAGAUAGUUGUGGGUUUAAAGCAUAUGACAUUAAAGGUGGUGAGAUCGAUCACAUUAAGGGUGCGUUUGGUUCGCGCUAUCUUUUAAAAAAAUAUGACGGUAUUUGGCUAAACGCACUAAGUAAUCUAGUUGGUAAUAUUGGAUUCAUUUGGGAAUAAGAUUCACCCCAAAGUACUAAUCUAAUUCUCUUGAGGGAGGAUGGGUAUCCUCAUAUUAAUGCAUUGGGGUAAUCAUAAUAUAUCUAAUCUCUUUCUUUCUUCCUACCCGCCGGCUAAUUAAUAUUAUUUUUUUUACACUCUAACCUUAUAUCUCUCUCUAAACUUAUUUCUCUCUAAAAUUCAACUUUUUUUUCUCUCUCUAAACUAAGCUUUCUCUCUCUCUUUCUCUUUCUAAAAUUUCAACUCUCUCACUCUCUCUAAUUUUGACUAUAUAUUUUUUUUUCUAUUUUUUUAAUUAUGCUCUCUCUCUCUAACUUAUACUCUCUCUCCCUUUUUUUUCAAAAAAGAUGUUGAAACUUUUGGUAACAUUAUCUAAAAUUAAAUAAAUAAAUAAAUAAAUUGUAUAUUUUUUGUAAUAUUAAAUAACAUGGCUAAUUAAUAUUACCGUGCGAACCAAACACAGAAAUUUCACAUUCUUAGUAAUAGAAUGAAUAGGAAUAAAAUUCUCAGAUAUCUUUUAUUCCUAGUAAUCUUUCAUAAUGCGAACCAAACGCACCCUAAAGGUGAUGAGAUCGAUUGCGAUUGAUGGGAUGGGCUCGCGUAUGGGAGGAGGGCGAACAAAAUUGAGUAA
rnacentral:lncRNA from 1 species